CGGCCAGCGGAUUCGGAGCGGGCGACGGAGUGACCCAGACAGCUGUCCUCUCUGACACCCCCCGGCCUGCCUCUCUGUGGGCAUGAGAGCUGCCUACCUCUUCCUGCUAUUCCUGCCUGCAGGCCCGCUGGUUCAGGGGCAGUAUGACCUGGGCCUGCCGCCGCCAUUCCCUGACCAUGUCCAGUACACCCACUACGGCGACCAGAUCGACAACCCAGACUACUAUGAUUAUCAAGAGGUGAAUUCUCAGCCUUCGGAGGAACAGUUCCAGUUCCCGUCCCAACAGCAAGUCCAACAGGAAGUCAUAGCAGCCCCAACCCCAGAACCAGGAAAUGGCAGAGCUGGAGCCCACGGAGCCCAGACCUCUGGACUGCGGUGUGGAGCAGUACCCGUGCACCCGCCUCUACUCCAUACACAAGGCUUGCAAGCAGUGUCUGAACGAGGUCUGCUUCUACAGCCACCCCCGCGUGUAUGUCAUCAAUAAGGAGAUCUGUGUCCGCACAGUGUGUGCCCACGAGGAGCUCCUCCAAGCUGACCCCAAGUUCUCCAAAUGUGGCGUCAUGGUCAGCAGCGGCCUGUGUCAAUCCGUGGCAGCCUCCUGCACCAGGAGCUGUGGGCCUGCUAGGGUGGUGCUGGCAUCCUGAGUCCUGGCCCUCCUGGGAUCCGGGGCCCUCGGGCCCUGCCUGACCUGGUGCUUUCUUCCCCAUCCCCAUGUUCAUUUCAUUCUGUAAAAGUUAGUGGAAUGCAGCCGUGGGGGUUGUAGGCUGCGGUGCAGGCUCCUCCUUCGGCCUGUGGCCACCUCUGGGGCACAAUGGGGGCUCCCCACUGCCCAGUCUCUGCCCCUUGGGUUGGGGGGCAUCCCAGGCCUCUCCAUGGGACCUGGGUCCCUGACAGGCCUCAGCCUGUUUUGAUGACAGACAGUCCCCUAUUCAGUCCCCCAGGUAGGCUGUGUCCCCGCACCCCAGCUGGUCUGCUUGGAUUUCCUACAGCCCCCCUGGGCAUGGACCACCUUUAUUUUACACAAAAUUAAAAACAAGUUGUUAC